GAACUUGUUAAAACAAAUGGGUUUGAGCAUGUUGUUGAAGUGAUUGAGGGGUCAAUGGAAGAUAUUACUCUGCCUGAGAAGGUUGAUGUAAUCAUUUCAGAGUGGAUGGGAUACUUCCUUCUACGUGAAUCAAUGUUUGACUCAGUUAUCUGUGCUCGGGAUCGUUGGUUGAACCCAGAUGGAGUUAUGUACCCAAGCCAUGCUCGAAUGUGGG
rnacentral:misc_RNA from 1 species